rnacentral:rRNA from 1 species
CCUACGGGUGGCAGCAGUGAGGAAUAUUGGUCAAUGGGCGGAACCCUGAACCAGCCACGUAGCGUGCGGGAUGAAGGCCCUACGGGUCGUAAACCGCUUUUGCACGGGGAUAACACCCUCCACUUGUGGAGGUCUGCAGGUACCGUGCGUAUAAGGGCCGGCAAAUUCCGUGCCAGCAGCCGCGGUAAUACGGGGGGCACGCGCGUUAUCCGGAUUCAUUGGGCUAAAAGGGAGCGUAGGCGGGCGUUCAAGUCACCGGUAACAGCGCGCGGCUCAACCGCGCCCCGCAGUGGAAACUGGACGCCUGGAGUUCACAACGGGCAGGCGGAAUUCGUGGUGUAGCGGUGAAAUGGAUAGAG